UACGUAGGGGGCAAGCGUUGUCCGGAUUUAUUGGGCGUAAAAGGCUUGUAGGUGGCCACGCCAAGUCGGAUGUGAAAUCUCCCGGCUCAACUGGGAGGGGUCAUUCGAUACUGGCGGGCUCGAGGCCGGUAGGGGGAAGUGGAAUUCCCGGUGUAGUGGUGGAAUGCGUAGAUAUCGGGAGGAACACCAGUGGCGAAGGCGGCUCACUGGACGACUGUUGACGCUGAGGUGCGAAAGCGUGGGGAGCAAACAGG
rnacentral:rRNA from 1 species